rnacentral:rRNA from 1 species
AAUCAACGCUGGCGGCGUGCCUAACACAUGCAAGUCGAACGCGAAAACCCCGCAAGGGGCAAGUAGAGUGGCAAACGGGUGAGUAACGCGUGGGUGACCUACCUUCGAGUGGGGGAUAACGUCUCGAAAGGGACGCUAAUACCGCAUGACAUCGUGCCUUUGAACAGGUGAUGAUCAAAGCCGGGAUCGCAAGACCUGGCGCUUGAAGAGGGGCCCGCGUCCGAUUAGCAGUUGGUGGGGUAACGGCUCACCAAGGCGACGAUCGGUAGCCGGCCUAAGAGGGCGGACGGCCACACUGGGACUGAGACACGGCCCAGACUCCUACGGGAGGCAGCAGUGGGGAAUUGUUCGCAAUGGGCGCAAGCCUGACGACGCAACGCCGCGUGGAGGAUGAAGAUCUUCGGGUCGUAAACUCCUGUCGAGCGGGACGAAAGGCCCGUGACCUAAUACGUCGCGGGAGUGACGGUACCGCUAGAGGAAG